UACGUAGGGCGCAAGCGUUGUCCGGAAUUAUUGGGCGUAAAGAGCUCGUAGGCGGUCUGUUACGUCCGCUGUGAAAACCCAGGGCUUAACCCUGGGCUUGCAGUGGAUACGGGCAGACUAGAGGUAGGUAGGGAGAAUGGAAUUCCCGGUGUAGCGGUGAAUGCGCAGAUAUCGGGAGGAACACCGGUGGCGAAGGCGGUUCUCUGGCCUUACCUGACGCUGAGGAGCGAAGCGUGGGAGCGAACAGG
rnacentral:rRNA from 1 species